rnacentral:rRNA from 1 species
AACGAACGCUGGCGGCAGGCUUAACACAUGCAAGUCGAACGCAUCGCAAGAUGAGUGGCAGACGGGUGAGUAACGCGUGGGAAUCUACCCAGUUCUACGGAACAACAGUUGGAAACGACUGCUAAUACCGUAUACGCCCUACGGGGGAAAGAUUUAUCGGAAUUGGAUGAGCCCGCGUAAGAUUAGCUAGUUGGUGGGGCAAUGGCCUACCAAGGCGACGAUCUUUAGCUGGUCUGAGAGGAUGAUCAGCCACACUGGGACGGAGACACGGCCCAGACUCCUACGGGAGGCAGCAGUGGGGAAUAUUGGACAAUGGGCGCAAGCCUGAUCCAGCCAUGCCGCGUGAGUGAUGAAGGCCUUAGGGUUGUAAAGCUCUUUCACCGAUGAAGAUAAUGACGGUAGUCGGAGAAGAAGCCCCGGCUAACUUCGUGCCAGCCGCCGCAGUAAGAC